rnacentral:tRNA from 1 species
AGUGAUAUAUUUUAAGAAAAAUACCAUUUUGCAAAAAUGGAGUUACUACCAAGUUUUCACUU